UACAGGCAAACGUAAAAGACGGCGAACGGUGUUCUACAGCAAGCUGUUUUCUAAGACCUAAGUUGUACAGAAGAAAUUUACAGGUUGCUACCAACAGCCACGUGACGAAGAUUAUUAUACGUAAUGGCGAAGCAAAAGGUGUUGUUGUAAUGAAAAAUGGAAAGAAGACCCGAAUAUAUGCAAGGGAAGAAGUUAUCAUUUCUGCAGGAGUGUUUGGAUCACCAAAAUUCCUGAUGUUGUCCGGCGUAGGACCAAAACACCACCUGAAAGAGUUAAGGGUACCACUGAAAGCAGAUCUUCCAGUAGGCGAAGGAAUGCAAUAUCAUAUGCAAUAUCAUUUCCAGUACUCAAUUAAUACACCUAUAAAUAUGAACAAAAAGAAGGCUUUAGACGAACAAUCCAUUAUGGA